AUCUAGACUCGUACCUUUUGCAUCAUGAUUUAGCUAGAAAACCUCAAGCAAAGAGCACUUUAGUUUGAUUCCCCGAAACUACGUGAGCUACUCCAAGACAGCCUAACAACUAGGGCAAACCCGUCUCUGUGGCAAAAGAGUGGGAAGAUCUUUGAGUAGAGGUGACAGACCUAUCGAACCUAGUUAUAGCUGGUUGCCUGGGAAAUGAAUAGAAGUUCAGCCUCUCGGAUUCUCCCCUCACUCCACCCACCCCCUCCGACAACUAAAAGAAACCGAAAGAGUUAGUCGAAGGGGGUACAGCCCCUUUGACACAAGAUACAACUUUCCCAGAAGGGUAAAGAUCAUAUCCAGCACCAAGGUAAAAUGUUUAGGUGGGCCCAAAAGCAGCCACCCCAUAGAAUGCGUUAAAGCUCAGACAUGACUACCACCCCCAAUCCUGACAAUCUUAUCUUAACCCCCUAACCCUACCAGGCCAUUCCAUGCAGACAUGGAAGUGACCAUGCUAAUAUGAGUAAUAAGAGAGUAUAAACCUCUCUCCUUGCACAAGUGUA
rnacentral:rRNA from 1 species